rnacentral:tRNA from 1 species
GUCGCCGUAGCUCAGAGGUCAGAGCGCUUGGCUCAUAAAACCAAGAGGUCGGGGGUUCAAUUCCCCCCGGCGACA